AUUCCUACGGGAGGCAGCAGUGGGGAAUAUUGGACAAUGGGCGGAAGCCUGAUCCAGCAACGCCGCGUGAGGGAUGACGGCCUUCGGGUUGUAAACCUCUUUCAGCACAGACGAAGCGCAAGUGACGGUAUGUGCAGAAGAAGGACUGGCCAACUACGUGCCAGCAGCCGCGGUAAUACGUAGGGUCCGAGCGUUGUCCGGAAUUAUUGGGCGUAAAGGGCUCGUAGGCGGUUUGUCGCGUCGGGAGUGAAAACACCGGGCUUAACUCGGUGCUUGCUUUCGAUACGGGCAGACUAGAGGCAUUCAGGGGAGAACGGAAUUCCUGGUGUAGCGGUGAAAUGCGCAGAUAUCAGGAGGAACACCGGUGGCGAAGGCGGUUCUCUGGGAAUGUCCUGACGCUGAGGAGCGAAAGUGUGGGGAGCGAACAGGAUUAGAUACCCUGGUAGUCCACACCGUAAACGUUGGGCGCUAGGUGUGGGAUCCAUUCCACGGGUUCCGUGCCGCAGCUAACGCAUUAAGCGCCCCGCCUGGGGAGUACGGCCGCAAGGCUAAAACUCAAAGGAAUUGACGGAAU
rnacentral:rRNA from 1 species